rnacentral:rRNA from 1 species
UACGGAGGGUGCAAGCGUUGCUCGGAAUUAUUGGGCGUAAAGGGCAGGUAGGUGGUCUCGUUUGUCUGAGGUGAAAGCCUUGAGCUUAACUCAAGAAGGGCCUUAGAAACGGCGAGACUAGAGUCUUGGAGAGGGUCGUGGAAUUCCCGGUGUAGCGGUGAAAUGCGUAGAGAUCGGGAGGAACACCAGCGGCGAAGGCGGCGACCUGGACAAGUACUGACACUCAACUGCGAAAGCGUGGGGAGCAAACAGG